rnacentral:rRNA from 1 species
UACGUAGGGGGCAAGCGUUAUCCGGAUUCACUGGGCGUAAAGGGAGCGCAGGCGGCAUGGUAAGCCUGAUGUGAAAACCCGGGGCCCAACCCCGGGAGUGCAUUGGAAACUGCCAGGCUGGAGUGUCGGAGGGGUAAGCGGAAUUCCUAGUGUAGCGGUGAAAUGCGUAGAUAUUAGGAGGAACACCAGUGGCGAAGGCGGCUUACUGGACGACUACUGACGCUGAGGCUCGAAAGCGUGGGGAGCAAACAGG